GAUGAACGCUGGCGGCGUGCCUAAUACAUGCAAGUCGAGCGAACGGACGAGAAGCUUGCUUCUCUGAUGUUAGCGGCGGACGGGUGAGUAACACGUGAUAACCUACCUAUAAGACUGGGAUAACUUCGGGAAACCGGAGCUAAUACCGGAUAAUAUUUUGAACCGCAUGGUUCAAAAGUGAAAGACGGUCUUGCUGUCACUUAUAGAUGGAUCCGCGCUGCAUUAGCUAGUUGGUAAGGUAACGGCUUACCAAGGCAACGAUGCAUAGCCGACCUGAGAGGGUGAUCGGCCACACUGGAACUGAGACACGGUCCAGACUCCUACGGGAGGCAGCAGUAGGGAAUCUUCCGCAAUGGGCGAAAGCCUGACGGAGCAACGCCGCGUGAGUGAUGAAGGUCUUCGGAUCGUAAAACUCUGUUAUUAGGGAAGAACAUAUGUGUAAGUAACUGUGCACAUCUUGACGGUACCUAAUCAGAAAGCCACGGCUAACUACGUG
rnacentral:rRNA from 1 species